rnacentral:rRNA from 1 species
AGCGAACGCUGGCGGCAGGCUUAACACAUGCAAGUCGAACGCCCCGCAAGGGGAGUGGCAGACGGGUGAGUAACACGUGGGAACGUAACCUUUGGUUCGGAAUAACUUGGGGAAACUCAAGCUAAUACCGGAUAAGCCCUUAUGGGGAAAGGUUUACUGCCGAAGGAUCGGCCCGCGUCUGAUUAGCUAGUUGGUGAGGUAAUGGCUCACCAAGGCGACGAUCAGUAGCUGGUCUGAGAGGAUGAUCAGCCACACUGGGACUGAGACACGGACCAGACUCCUACGGGAGGUAGCAGUGGGGAAUAUUGGACAAUGGGGGCAACCCUGAUCCAGCCAUGCCGCGUGAGUGAUGAAGGCCUUAGGGUUGUAAAGCUCUUUUACCCGGGACGAUAAUGACUGUACCGGGAGAAUAAGCCCCGGCUAACUUCGUGCCAGCCGCCGCGGUAA